AGGACUAACGCUGGCGGCGUGCCUAACACAUGCAAGUCGAACGAAGGUAGCAAUACCUUAGUGGCAGACGGGUGAGUAACACGUGGUCAACCUACCUUAGUGUGGGGGAUAACUAGCCGAAAGGUUAGCUAAUACCGCAUACGAUCUUCGAGCGGCAUCGCUUGAAGAUGAAAGGAGCAAUCCGCACUAAGACGGGACCGCGUCCCAUUAGCUAGUUGGUGGGGUAACGGCCUACCAAGGCGACUAUGGGUAGCUGGCUUGAGAGAGCGACCAGCCACACUGGGACUGAGACACGGCCCAGACUCCUACGGGAGGCAGCAGUGAGGAAUUUUCCGCAAUGGGCGAAAGCCUGACGGAGCGACGCCGCGUGUGGGAAGAAGGCCUUCGGGUCGUAAACCACUGUCGAAGGGGAAGAUAUUGACGGUACCCUUGGAGGAAGCCCCGGCUAACUACGCGCCAGCAGCCGC
rnacentral:rRNA from 1 species